GUGAGGUGUCCGGCGGUGAGCGGCACAGGGCCGAUGCGGCGAAGGUGCAGGGCGGGGGGCAACAACGGGGCAAG
rnacentral:tRNA from 1 species